rnacentral:rRNA from 1 species
GAUGAACGCUGGCUACGGGCUUAACACAUGCAAGUCGAGGGGAAACGACGGGGAAGCUUGCUUCCCCGGGCGUCGACCGGCGCACGGGUGAGUAACGCGUAUCCAACCUGCCUCUGACUGAGGGAUAACCCGUCGAAAGUCGGCCUAAUACCUCAUGGUAUCGUCUGCGGGCAUCCAACGACGAUUAAAGAUUUCAUCGGUCAGGGAUGGGGAUGCGUCUGAUUAGAUUGUUGGCGGGGUAACGGCCCACCAAGGCUACGAUCAGUAGGGGUUCUGAGAGGAAGGUCCCCCACAUUGGAACUGAGACACGGUCCAAACUCCUACGGGAGGCAGCAGUGAGGAAUAUUGGUCAAUGGGCGAGAGCCUGAACCAGCCAAGUAGCGUGCAGGAAGACGGCCCUAUGGGUUGUAAACUGCUUUUAUGCGGGGAUAAAGUGAGGGACGGGUCCCUCAUUGCAGGUACCGCAUGAAUAAGGACCGGCUAAUUCCGUG